rnacentral:lncRNA from 1 species
GCCCAAAGUACAUUAAAAGACCGCUUAGAAUUGCAUAAACAUAAUACGAUCCAUCGCUUAUAUACAAGCGAUUUCUAGAUUCUUUGAAUCUAUUAGAAACCUUAAAAGGCACACAUGAGCUAACAGCCAUAAGCAUUAUAAAAACAAGGCUAAAAGGCCAUGCGAGAAAUUUAGUAAGUAAUGAGCAGACAGAUGCUGCAAUCAUUACAAUCAUUGCAAUCAUUCAUUAAAAGAGUACGUACAAGAACACACACAAAAACUCCUUUGACUCUCACAGAAACACCUGUGAAUGCUUUCGAUAUAGUGAUAGCGGUUACAGUAGGUCCGCUACCUAAAUCGGAAAAUGGCAAUGAAUACAUAGUCACAUUAAUAUGUGACCUUACAAAAUAUAUAGUACCCAUUCCAAAUAAUAACGUCGCUAAAUCUAUAUUCGAAAAUUUCAUACUCAAGUUCGGUCCAAUGAAGACGUUCAUCUCGGACAUGGGAACAGAGUAUAAAAACCAGAUUUUAAUUGAUUUAUGCAAGUAUAUGAAGAUCAAGAAUCUCACCUCCACUGCAUAUCAUCAUCAAACAUUAGGGACAAUAAAACGAAGUCAUCGAACAUUCAAUGAAUACUGAAUCUGAUGAUAAUGAGAGAAAAGAAAUCAUCACGGUAGAACACAAUCGAGCUCAUAGAGCCGCUCAGGAAAAUGUAAAACAGGUUUUGACCGAUUACUAUUUUCCCAAAAUGACUAAACUGGCAAGCGAGGUAGUCAUGAACUGUAAGAUUUGCUCCCGAGCAAAGUAUGACAGACACCCUAGGAAACAGGAACUAGGCACGACGCCAAUUCCGUCAUGCACGGGAGAAAUGCUGCAUGUUGAUAUAUUCUCAACCGAUAGGAAGUACUUCCUGACAUGUGUGGACAAGUUCUCGAAAUUUGCCAUCACGCAGCCAAUAGCCUCCCGCACCAUUGCGGACCCAAAAGCUCCGCUGUUACAGCAUAUGAAUGUAUUCACUAAUACAAAGCAGAUCUAUUGUGACAAUGAGUCCUCUCUUAAUUUUGAGACGAUUAGGUAUCUUUUAAAAAAUAACUUCGGAGUCUAGAUCGCUAAAGCGCCGUCACUCCACAGUACAUUGAACGGCCAGGUGGAAAGGUUCCACAGUACUUUGGUCGAAAUUGCCAGGUGCCUCAAAAUUGCUAAGGGCAUCACCGACACCGCCGAUAUAUUCCUGCAGGCAACUGUAGAGUACAACAGUUCAAUGCAAUCGGUCACCAAUAAAAGGCCAGUAGACAUUUUUCACUCUGUUGUAACAGGUGCCUGCAGUGAAAUGCAGAAUAAGGUUCAAAAAGUUCAGAUUAUGCAAAAUAACCGAGUUAACCAGACACGACAAAACAGAGUUUUUAGGGUAGGAGAAAAGGUGUUGGUAAAAUCUAACAGACGCCUCGGGAACAAGUUGACUCCGCUUUACGUGGAAGAAGCUGUGGAGGCGGACUUGGGGACAAGAGUCCUGAUUAGAGGGAGGGUGGUCCAUAAGGACAACCUUAGAUAGUUGUACCGUAGCUCCGUUGUAGCUCCAUAUAUUUUAUAUUACAAAUUUUAUCAGCAGGUUUAUCUGGAUAUUUCACCUCUUUACAAUAGUUGCGGCCCGCAACUCCCGACUACUCCCACUCCCACUAUAUUCCCAUCACAGAUGGGACUGUACUAGUGUGGGAGGAGCUAAAUUAAAUUAGGCACACCACAAACUUGACAGAAUACGGACGCAUUGACUGACGAGACCGCUAAGAUGACAGACCUUUUCCCAAGAUCAAACAUGAGGCUACUUUUAGAAGUUGACUCAAACCAUGUCAGAGACAUGCUAACGAACAUUGGGAUUUACCAUAGGAUAGCAAGAAGUCUCGACUUCCUAGGGACGGCCCUCAAGGUAGUGGCCGGUACACCGGACGACUCAGACUUGUAGAAUAUUGGGAUUACGGAAGCGCAGCUAUUCCAAUCGAAGAAUAGACAGAUUUCCAUGAACACGAAGAUCCAGGGCCAACUAAACACUCUUACAGAUACGGUGAAUAAGUUUCUUAGCAUAGAAAAAAGGGAACACAUCAACACUGCCCACUUGUACGAAACACUAUUAGCCAGAAAUAUAAAUCUUAUCACAGAAUUAGGUAAUUUAAUGCUCACGAUCACCUUGGCCAAAGCCAACUUGGUAAGCCCUUCUCUACUUGACCAUGCUACCACAAUGGGGAAGAUGAAUCCCAUCUUUACCAUUGGUAUAGGAGUAGCCGUCUGUGGAGUCAUCGGCAUCAUCCUUUAUCUCAGAGCCCUUCUCAAGAGGAAAAGGGAGUUGGUCUAGGUCAACGCAAUGAAAGAGAACUUGAGAGGUUCGAGGGCGACCACUCUUGUGGAGGGGGAGUAGUUAACACUCGCCACCAACGGCAGGGUACCGGCAAUGUUCUUACUUUGUAAGAAUGCUGAUACAGCGCUAGAGUGGACGGGCAUCGAGUUGAACUGGAAUCAUAUUUCGUACGUUGCAUAAACAUCCGCCGAGAACGUCUGCACGUGGAGCUGACGCGGCGCAAUCGGGGAAGGCUGCUCGGGCAUCGCUGCUCAAGCGAUGGGCCGUCCGCGGCGUACCAAUUUAUAAUUCAUACUUUUGUACUUUAUUUUUACACUCAUAUUCAACCGAGCCAGAAGUGCCGGCAAUCAAAUAUCUGAACAUUAAAUUCCGUUGGCCGAAGCCACGGUACCUUAGAGAAUCUUAAUAAUUUGUACAUAAUUAUGCUGAUAAGACAAAAUAUGUAUGAAGCCGAUCCGCUGCUGUCGUAACCGGCGGCGCAGCUAUGCGGCUUAGCUAUAAGAAUAUAUUCAAUAAAACAUUAAAAAACCAAAGUCAAACGGCACAGACGUGCCAGUGCAUCUGUUUUAACUACACCCAUUACAAUAUAAAGCAAUGUAGGCUCGACCGCUGCCACGAAAUGUGAUCCGUCUGGCAUUGGGACCAAUUGCCGCCAAUUACAACGUUAGCAUAUUGACCAUGCUAAUGGUUACUAAUGUAACACCUGCAUAGGGCAACACGCCCUCUUUAUUUUGAUAUACAUUUUAGUUCGAUUUUACAAUAAAGAUUAUUAAUGACAAGUACGUCAAACAGCAAAGACUCAUUACAUGGCGAUCCUGCCAGGAGCCAAAUCCAUAACGGGACGGGGUGGGUUAAAAGUCGGCAGAGGCAGAGUCAGAGGCAGAGGGACGGCAGAGGCAGAGGCAGAGGCGAGUGAAGCAGAAGCAGAGUGUGAAUGAGAGAAUGUGAAAAGAACAACAAAAGCUGCGGGACGGGGUGGGUUUAGCCACUGCAAAUUAAUUUCUUCAUUGUGGCUAUAAUAAUGAUCCAAUAGGAUCCUAAUUUGGUGAUCUGAUAGAAAUGGUCAUUCCCUACGAAAUGGCGUUUUCUUUUAUCUUCAAAAUUGUAGAUUAAGGAGGUUUUCGCCCUUUUGAGGGGGAGGAGGGUGCGUGGCUAAUUUUUGAAAUACGCUUGUAACAGUGUGAGCAUACAGAAGUCUGCAUGCAAAACUUGGUGGCUCUAGCUUUUAAGGUCUCUGAGAUCCAGGCGCUCAACAAGACGGACGGACGGACGGCGAACAGACGGACGGACAGACAGACAUGGCUCAAUCGACUCGGCUAUUGAUGCUGAUCAAGAAUAUGUAUACUUUAUGGGGUCGGAAACGUUUCCUUCUGUGUGUUACAUACUUUGUGCACAAAUACAAUAUACCCUAUUUACUCUUCGAGUACCGGGUAUAAAAAGUUCAAAGCAGACUUUGAAAAAUCAUAUAAAUGCCUCAACAAGGCAAAACGUACUUAAAGGCAAACUCUUAUUAAGCAUACUGAAUCCGACUUUCAAAGCUACAACGAUAUCAAAUGCUUAAUGAAAAAGGCUACGAUGAGCCUUGCUGAUAUUCAAAAUCACAAGAAACAGACGUUCUCAAACGUCCAACAGAAUGCCUCGAAAAUAUUAACAACAUUUGCAACUAAGCAUACCAACUUCUCUAAAUAGCCCAGCAGUUUUCGACCCAACAUUGAUGCAAAAUAGCUUAAACACUGACGACAGUUCAGAAGGUGAAAACCGUCAGAAGAUAAAAAACCGUCAGGCUCAAACAUGCCGCAAACGAUAAUAGAGUUUCUUAAUACAGCCAGCUAACUCAUCCUAGAGUUUGACGGUAGGGCAGAAGAUUUGCAUAGUUUUUUGUAUGCUGUAGCUAUCUACCCUACCAUUAUCAUAAAUCAAAGGGUAUAACAAUCCGUUAAAACAUUGUGACACUUUGUCAUAAUGAAUACAAAUCUAGAAAUGCCCAAAGUACAUUAAAAGACCGCUUAGAAUUGCAUAAACAUAAUACGAUCCAUCGCUUAUAUACAAGCGAUUUCUAGAUUCUUUGAAUCUAUUAGAAACCUUAAAAGGCACACAUGAGCUAACAGCCAUAAGCAUUAUAAAAACAAGGCUAAAAGGCCAUGCGAGAAAUUUAGUAAGUAAUGAGCAGACAGAUGCUGCAAUCAUUACAAUCAUUGCAAUCAUUCAUUAAAAGAGUACGUACAAGAACACACACAAAAACUCCUUUGACUCUCACAGAAACACCUGUGAAUGCUUUCGAUAUAGUGAUAGCGGUUACAGUAGGUCCGCUACCUAAAUCGGAAAAUGGCAAUGAAUACAUAGUCACAUUAAUAUGUGACCUUACAAAAUAUAUAGUACCCAUUCCAAAUAAUAACGUCGCUAAAUCUAUAUUCGAAAAUUUCAUACUCAAGUUCGGUCCAAUGAAGACGUUCAUCUCGGACAUGGGAACAGAGUAUAAAAACCAGAUUUUAAUUGAUUUAUGCAAGUAUAUGAAGAUCAAGAAUCUCACCUCCACUGCAUAUCAUCAUCAAACAUUAGGGACAAUAAAACGAAGUCAUCGAACAUUCAAUGAAUACUGAAUCUGAUGAUAAUGAGAGAAAAGAAAUCAUCACGGUAGAACACAAUCGAGCUCAUAGAGCCGCUCAGGAAAAUGUAAAACAGGUUUUGACCGAUUACUAUUUUCCCAAAAUGACUAAACUGGCAAGCGAGGUAGUCAUGAACUGUAAGAUUUGCUCCCGAGCAAAGUAUGACAGACACCCUAGGAAACAGGAACUAGGCACGACGCCAAUUCCGUCAUGCACGGGAGAAAUGCUGCAUGUUGAUAUAUUCUCAACCGAUAGGAAGUACUUCCUGACAUGUGUGGACAAGUUCUCGAAAUUUGCCAUCACGCAGCCAAUAGCCUCCCGCACCAUUGCGGACCCAAAAGCUCCGCUGUUACAGCAUAUGAAUGUAUUCACUAAUACAAAGCAGAUCUAUUGUGACAAUGAGUCCUCUCUUAAUUUUGAGACGAUUAGGUAUCUUUUAAAAAAUAACUUCGGAGUCUAGAUCGCUAAAGCGCCGUCACUCCACAGUACAUUGAACGGCCAGGUGGAAAGGUUCCACAGUACUUUGGUCGAAAUUGCCAGGUGCCUCAAAAUUGCUAAGGGCAUCACCGACACCGCCGAUAUAUUCCUGCAGGCAACUGUAG